rnacentral:rRNA from 1 species
AGUGAACGCUGGCGGCAGGCCUAACACAUGCAAGUCGAACGGCAGCACAAGAGAGCUUGCUCUCUGGGUGGCGAGUGGCGGACGGGUGAGGAAUGCAUCGGAAUCUGCCCAUUUGUGGGGGAUAACCUCGGGAAACCGGGACUAAUACCGCAUACGACCUACGGGUGAAAGCAGGGGAUCUUCGGACCUUGCGCAGAUGGAUGAGCCGAUGCUGGAUUAGCUAGUUGGAGGGGUAAAGGCCCACCAAGGCGACGAUCCGUAGCUGGUCUGAGAGGAUGAUCAGCCACACUGGGACUGAGACACGGCCCAGACUCCUACGGGAGGCAGCAGUGGGGAAUAUUGGACAAUGGGCGCAAGCCUGAUCCAGCCAUGCCGCGUGUGUGGAGAAGGCCUUCGGGUUGUAAAGCACUUUUGUUGGGAAAGAAAAGCAGCCGGUUAAUACCCGGUUGUCAUGACGGUACCCAAAGAAUAAGCACCGGCUAACUUCGUG